CCUACGGGAGGCAGCAGUGAGGAAUAUUGGUCAAUGGCCGCAGGGCUGAACCAGCCAAGUCGCGUGAGGGAUGACGGUCCUAUGGAUUGUAAACCUCUUUUGUCAGGGAGCAAAGGGCGCCACGUGUGGCGCUUUGCGAGUACCUGAAGAAAAAGCAUCGGCUAACUCCGUGCCAGCAGCCGCGGUAAUACGGAGGAUGCGAGCGUUAUCCGGAUUUAUUGGGUUUAAAGGGUGCGCAGGCGGAAUGUCAAGUCAGCGGUAAAAUUUCGGGGCUCAACCCCGUCGUGCCGUUGAAACUGGCGUUCUUGAGUGAGCGAGAAGUAUGCGGAAUGCGUGGUGUAGCGGUGAAAUGCAUAGAUAUCACGAAGAACUCCGAUUGCGAAGGCAGCAUACCGGCGCUCAACUGACGCUCAUGCACGAAAGCGUGGGUAUCGAACAGGAUUAGAUACCCCAGUAGUC
rnacentral:rRNA from 1 species